rfam:Loxodonta africana unplaced genomic scaffold scaffold_24, whole genome shotgun sequence.
UUUUUAGUACAAGUAUGUCUCAUGCAAUAUUUGGGACAUACUUAUUAUACUAAAA